CUACGGGAUGCACCAGUGAGGAAUAUUGCACAAUGGGGGGAACCCUGAUGCAGCAACGCCGCGUGGAGGAUGACGCAUUUCGGUGCGUAAACUCCUUUUAUAUGUCAAGAAAAUGACGGUAGCAUAUGAAUAAGCACCGGCUAACUCCGUGCCAGCAGCCGCGGUAAUACGGAGGGUGCAAGCGUUACUCGGAAUCACUGGGCGUAAAGGACGCGUAGGCGGGUUGGAAAGUCAGGUGUGAAAUCCUACAGCUUAACUGUAGAACUGCACUUGAAACUUCUAAUCUAGAGUAUGGGAGGGGGAGAUGGAAUUAGUGGUGUAGGAGUAAAAUCCGUAGAUAUCACUAGGAAUACCUAAAGCGAAGGCGAUCUCCUGGAACAUUACUGACGCUAAGGCGUGAAAGCGUGGGGAGCAAACAGGAUUAGAUACCCUUGUAGUC
rnacentral:rRNA from 1 species